rnacentral:rRNA from 1 species
CAGCAGCCGCGGUAAGACAGAGGAUGCAAGCGUUAUCCGGAAUGAUUGGGCGUAAAGCGUCUGUAGGUGGCUUUUCAAGUCCGCCGUCAAAUCCCAGGGCUCAACCCUGGAUAGGCGGUGGAAACUACCAAGCUGGAGUAUGGUAGGGGCAGAGGGAAUUUCUGGUGGAGCGGUGAAAUGCGUUGAGAUCGGAAAGAACACCAACGGCGAAAGCACUCUGCUGGGCCGACACUGACACUGAGAGACGAAAGCUAGGGGAGCAAAUGGGAUUAGAUACCCGCGUAGUCCCUGUCUCUUAUAC